GUGUCUGUAGGACUGUCUGUAGCGUGUCCGUAGGACUGUCUGUAGCGUGUCCGUAGCGUGUCUUUCGGACUGUCUGUAGCGUGUCUUUCGGACUGUCUGUCGGACUGUCUGUAGCGUGUCUGUAGGACUGUCUGUAGCUUGUCCGUAGGACUGUCUGUAGGACUGUCUGUAGCGUGUCUUUCGGACUGUCUUUCGGGCUGUCCGUAGCGUGUCCGUAGGACUGUCUGUAGCGUGUCUUUCGGACUGUCUGUAGCGUGUCUUUCGGACUGUCUGUCGGAAUGUCUGUAGCGUGUCCGUAGGACUGUCUGUAGCUUGUCCGUAGGACUGUCUGUAGCGUGUCUUUCGGACUGUCUCUAGUGUGUCCGUAGGACUGUCUGUAGCGUGUCCGUAGCGUGUCUUUCGGACUGUCUGUAGCGUGUCUUUCGGACUGUCUUUCGGACUGUCUGUAGCGUGUCUGUAGGACUGUCUGUAGCGUCUCUGUAGGACUGCCUGUAGGACUGUCUGUAGCGUGUCUGUAGGACUGUCUGUAGCGUGUCCGUAGGACUGUCUGUAGCGUGUCCGUAGGACUGUCUGUAGCGUGUCCGUAGGACUGCCUGUAGGACUGUCUGUAGCGUGUCUGUAGGACUGUCUGUAGCGUGUCUGUAGGACUGUCUGUAGCGUGUCUGUAGGACUGUCUGUAGCGUGUCCGUAGGACUGUCUGUAGCGUGUCCGUAGGACUGUCUGUAGCGUCUUUCGGACUGUCUGUAGCGUGUCUUUCGGACUGUCUGUAGCGUGUCCGUAGAACUGUCUGUAGCGUGUCCGUAGGACUGUCUGUAGCUUGUCCGUAGGACUGUCUGUAGCGUGUCCGUAGGACUGUCUGUAGCGUGUCCGUAGGACUGUCUGUAGCGUGUCCGUAGGACUGUCUGUAGUGUGUCCGUAGGACUGUCUGUAGGAUUGUCUGUAGCGUGUCUGUAGCGUCUUUCGGACUGUCUGUAGCGUGUCUUUCGGACUGUCUGUAGCGUCUGUCGGACUGUCUGUAGCGUGUCUUUCGGACUGUCUGUAGCGUGUCUUUCGGACUGUCUGUAGCGUGUCCGUAGGACUCGUCUUUCGGACUGUCUGUAGCGUGUCUUUCGGACUGUCUGUAGCGUGUCCGUAGGACUGUCUGUAGCGUGUCCGUAGGACUGUCUGUAGCGUGUCCGUAGGACUGUCUGUAGCGUGUCCGUAGGACUGUCUGUAGGACUGUCUGUAGCGUGUCCGUAGGACUGUCUGUAGCGUGUCCGUAGGACUGUCUGUAGCGUGUCCGUAGGACUGUCUGUAGCGUGUCCUUCGGACUGUCUGUAGCGUGUCUUUCGGACUGUCUGUAGCGUGUCCGAUACCACAACAGUAACAUUUGUACCUUUUGAGUCCAAUAAUUCAUCUUUAAACCAAAUCAAUUGAAAAUCUCCUUUGAAUCUUCCUAGUGCUACUUACUGUAUGUACAACAUUGUCACCCCAGUCGAGUGAACUCUAGUAAGCAUCACAGAGAGUAGUCACUACAGAAGGGACCAGCAUGUUGAGGGAAUAGGGUGCUAUUUGAGACACACUGAAUGUGCUGCUACAGACAGACGCUGUGCCCUCCCUAAUAGUAGGAAUCCUAACGAUGGAAGCUGGCCAUCAGAGAAUGUACCAGUUUGUUUACUUUGCCAUGGUAACCCACCCUCCUGCACUACAAGUCAUAUGUGCCAGAACUGGACUUCAAAACCAGUAAAGUUUGUGUUUAAUCAAGUAUCUAGAAUUAUAAUACUAACAACACAUUCCCACUUUGAAACAACAAAGCUGAAUGUCACAUAUCUAUGGGUGGUUAUGGGUGGUGAUGGAUCGUGAGGUAUAUGACAGAACACACCAUGUACUAUAAUCGUAUAGUACAUCAGUACUGCAUAUGGUGACUAUAUUUAUACAUGUUCGUACUGUAUAAAUAUAGAUAAGUAUAUUUCUAUGUACAUUUGGAUAUUUAAACAUUGCAUAAAGAAUAAAAUAAAUAAUACAAAUAUAAUGAAAUGUUACAGUGAGUACGAUUUGAGAAACGCUAUAUUAGAGGCCAAAAAUGUCCU
rnacentral:lncRNA from 1 species